rnacentral:rRNA from 1 species
GAUGAACGCUGGCUACAGGCUUAACACAUGCAAGUCGUGGGGAAACGGCAUUAUGUGCUUGCACAUUCUGGACGUCGACCGGCGCACGGGUGAGUAUCGCGUAUCCAACCUGCCCCUUACUUGGGGAUACCCCGUUGAAAGACGGCCUAAUACCCGAUGUGUUUCAUUGACGGCAUCCGAUAUGAAACAAAGGUUUUUCCGGUAAGGGAUGGGGAUGCGUCUGAUUAGCUUGUUGGCGGGGCAACGGCCCACCAAGGCGACGAUCAGUAGGGGUUCUGAGAGGAAGGUCCCCCACAUUGGAACUGAGACACGGUCCAAACUCCUACGGGAGGCAGCAGUGAGGAAUAUUGGUCAAUGGACGCAAGUCUGAACCAGCCAAGUAGCGUGCAGGAUGACGGCCCUAUGGGUUGUAAACUGCUUUUAUGUGGGAAUAAAUUGGCGCACGUGUGCGCCAUUGCAUGUA